rnacentral:rRNA from 1 species
CGGGGGGGGACUGCGGAGGGACAUUACACAAAUAUGAAGGCGGGCUGGAACCUCUCGGGGUUACAGCCUUGCUGAAUUAUUCACCCUUGUCUUUUGCGUACUUCUUGUUUCCUUGGUGGGUUCGCCCACCACUAGGACAAACAUAAACCUUUUGUAAUUGCAAUCAGCGUCAGUAACAAAUUAAUAAUUACAACUUUCAACAACGGAUCUCUUGGUUCUGGCAUCGAUGAAGAACGCAGCGAAAUGCGAUAAGUAGUGUGAAUUGCAGAAUUCAGUGAAUCAUCGAAUCUUUGAACGCACAUUGCGCCCUUUGGUAUUCCAAAGGGCAUGCCUGUUCGAGCGUCAUUUGUACCCUCAAGCUUUGCUUGGUGUUGGGCGUCUUGUCUCUAGCUUUGCUGGAGACUCGCCUUAAAGUAAUUGGCAGCCGGCCUACUGGUUUCGGAGCGCAGCACAAGUCGCACUCUCUAUCAGCAAAGGUCUAGCAUCCAUUAAGCCUUUUUUUCAACUUUUGACCUCGGAUCAGGUAGGGAUACCCGCUGAACUUAAGCAUAUAAA